AGACGGAGGGUGCAAGCGUUAAUCGGAAUUACUGGGCGUAAAGCGCUCGUAGGCGGCCUGUUAAGUCGGAUGUGAAAGCCCCGGGCUCAACCUGGGAACUGCAUUCGAAACUGGCAGGCUAGAGUAUAGUAGAGGCAAGUGGAAUUCCGGGUGUAGCGGUGAAAUGCGUAGAUAUCCGGAGGAACAUCAGUGGCGAAGGCGACUUGCUGGACUAAUACUGACGCUAAGGAGCGAAAGCGUGGGGAGCAAACGGGAUUAGAAACCCCAGUAGUCC
rnacentral:rRNA from 1 species